UCUGGUAGCGAUGAUGACUUAUCUUUUUUCCCCAGCAGACCGACACUGUUGACCCUUUCUAACAAAUAAGCCAAAUGCUCUGAGCAACCAUG
rnacentral:snoRNA from 1 species